rnacentral:rRNA from 1 species
AGCGAACGCUGGCGGCAGGCCUAACACAUGCAAGUCGAACGGACCCUUCGGGGUUAGUGGCGGACGGGUGAGUAACACGUGGGAACGUGCCUUUAGGUUCGGAAUAGCUCCUGGAAACGGGUGGUAAUGCCGAAUGUGCCCUUCGGGGGAAAGAUUUAUCGCCUUUAGAGCGGCCCGCGUUAGAUUAGCUAGUUGGUGAG